GUUUGAUCCUGGCUCAGAAUCAACGCUGGCGGCGUGCCUAACACAUGCAAGUCGAACGCGACUUAGGCUUCGGUCUAAGUUGAGUGGCGAACGGGUGAGUAACACGUGGGUGACCUACCUUCGAGUGGGGGAUAACGUCCCGAAAGGGACGCUAAUACCGCAUAACAUCCUGCCGUUGAAAGCGGUGGAGAUCAAAGCCGGGGAUCGCAAGACCUGGCGCUUGAUGAGGGGCCCGCGCCUGAUUAGCUAGUUGGUGGGGUAAUGGCUCACCAAGGCGACGAUCAGUAUCCGGCCUGAGAGGGCGGACGGACACACUGGGACUGAGACACGGCCCAGACUCCUACGGGAGGCAGCAGUGGGGAAUUGUUCGCAAUGGGCGCAAGCCUGACGACGCAACGCCGCGUGGAGGAUGAAGGUCUUCGGAUUGUAAACUCCUGUUGCUCGGGACGAAAAGCUUCGACCUAACACGUCGAAGUCUGACGGUACCGAGUGAGGAAGCCCCGGCUAACUCUGUGCCAGCAGCCGCGGUAAUACAGAGGGGGCAAGCGUUGUUCGGAAUUACUGGGCGUAAAGGGCGCGUAGGCGGCCUGCUAAGUCGAACGUGAACUCCCUGGGCUCAACCCAGGAACUGCGUCCGAUACUGGUUGGCUUGAAUCCGGGAGAGGGAUGUGGAAUUCCAGGUGUAGCGGUGAAAUGCGUAGAUAUCUGGAGGAACACCGGUGGCGAAGGCGACAUCCUGGACCGGUAUUGACGCUGAGGCGCGAAAGCCAGGGGAGCAAACGGGAUUAGAUACCCCGGUAGUCCUGGCCCUAAACGACGAAUGCUUGGUGUGGCGGGUAUCGAUCCCUGCCGUGCCGAAGUUAACGCAUUAAGCAUUCCG
rnacentral:rRNA from 1 species